rnacentral:piRNA from 1 species
UUUCUUGACCCAAGGCAGAAGUGUGGA